GAUGAAGAACGUAGCGAAAUGCGAUAAGUAAUGUGAAUUGCAGAAUUCAGUGAAUCAUCGAAUCUUUGAACGCAUCUUGCGCUCCUUGGUAUUCUGAGGAGCAUGCCUGUUUGAGUGUCAUUAAAUUCUCAACUACACUGACUUUGAAUUGGUGUGUCUUGGAUUUGGGGGGAAAAUUGUUGUGGGCUUUUUGUAUAGUCUGCUCCCCUGAAAUUGAUUAGCGGUACCUUUGUGGAACUGUCUACAGGUGUGAUAAUUAUCUACAUCUUAGACAUCUGCUGGAAUGCUGCUUUCUAAACCUUACUUGUAUUGACAAUCUUGACCUCAAAUCAGGUAGGACUACCCGCUGAACUUAAGCAUAUCAAUAAGCGGAGGA
rnacentral:misc_RNA from 1 species